rnacentral:pre_miRNA from 1 species
AAGAUAAGAGUCUGUCUGAUAGCCAAGGAUGACUUGCUGGUUUGCAUUUCUCGUAUGCAAAUGCAGCCCUUGAGUAGGUUUCAGGCAGUCACCUUGGCUAAUUUCACAGGCUCUU